rnacentral:lncRNA from 10 species
CUAUAAUACAAGGAAAUGCCAUAGAUGUUUAAAGGAGAUAUGGUGUUUAGCAAACUGUAGGUGUUCAAUUAAUGUUGAAAUAAAUUGUGUUAAACACAAUUCUAUGAUAUCCUAGAGGAGUGAGUGAAUAGGAUAGGGAGAGAACCGGUAAACAUUUUAUGCAGCACCUGACCCUGAAGCUCUUCAGUUGCAAGAACUCCACAAGGGAAACAGUGUGACUGAAGCCAGGAAUGGAGGCUCCCAAGAAAAAGGAUCUGCUGCAGCUGUGGAUCAUGUCAAACACAAGCCCUGAGACACGCUGUGGAUGUAUGAAGGAUUCUGUUCGGUCAGGGAACUUCUUACAACCUAUGUACAGAUGUGUCUGAAUUUAAUCCUUCAAGUAUUCGCAACUUUGAGAAAAUAAAACUUAACCUGCUGUGCAGAGCCCCUCUGCUCUCCCAGAAAUCAGCUGGUGGACAAAAAAGGGACAAACAGCAGCAGAAGAGACAACCACCUAAAUUAAAUAAUUGCAUCCUACAGAAAUCUUUCUUGCUCAUCUCCUAAUAUCAUCGACUACCUCUUUUAGAUGAAGCAUUGAACAUCUCUGCAUAUGUUUUAUCUGGUCAAGUUUACCUACAGAACCAUACACUUAUCAAAGCCGCAGAUACUCCACAUAGAGGAACAUCAAGUGACAGGUUCUAGUAUAAAAAUAUGAGUCAUUAACAUGUGAUGGGUCAAAUGUCUGAGUAAUGUUUUAUUGCUGUUAAUAAAAUGUAAGAUGGAGAGAAAUAUUUUCAAAGAAUCAUGAGUUUCAUAAAAAAGCGUGUCAACGGGUUUUCUGGAGUUAACAAAAUCAAUUCACUAGUCCUUUAUAUCAACAUAAAAGUAUAGAACAGGAAAAAUACUGAGGACUAAGUUCUUACUAGUUCUUAUAGCUCCAUUUAUUAAAAGUAAAAAAAAAAUAAAGUUGGGUAUGUUUAACAGCAUGUAUCUUUCAAAUAGAACAUCAUCUUAGCAAACAAAAUGUUAUUUUUCUCAUCUAUGAAUUUAGUAACCUUGAGAGUCAGUGUUUAACCAGAGUGAGAAAAGUAAAAAAUCUAAGAUUUGGAGAAUGUAGAUUUCAUGAAAAAUAUGUUCAAUAUACAUUUUCCCAAAGCAAACAUGAAAACGAUUUUUGUGUAUGUGUGUGUGAAAGCUCGUCUUUCACUGUGGCUUCUGAGUCACCGGCUUAUUGGAAUCCUUUUCUACCAGGAUUUGGUUUAAAGUGGAGGAAACUGAAAAGGGCAUGUCGGCUAGAGAGGAUUAGACUAGCAAUGGGGCAGGGCCUGCAUCAAGGCACCAAGACUGGAAGCAGAUAGGAGGAGCAAUUUGACUAUUCUGAGAGUCUAUUUAGCACUAAUAUUGAUGUUAUUAACAUCAUAUGCUAUUUUGCAAAAUGCUGAGUUUGAGGUGAUUUUACAUAAGUGUGUAUAUAUAUAUUUUCUUACUGUGUGAUUUGUACAUAUAUAUGUAUGUGGGGUGAUUUUAUGUAUGCAUCUAUGUAUGCAUGCACACUAUAUAUACCUAUACAUAUAUACACAUACAUAGAUUUGUGUGCAUAUAUAUGUACACACAAAAAUACAUUGAAGCUUCAUAGAAUGAGAUCAUGUAUAAACAAGUACUUUAUGUAAAGACUGGAGCAAUAUGUGGAAGAUAUAAAUAAGAAUUUCCAGUUUUGGAAGAUUAAUCUAGCAACAUUCACCUUUACAUUUCUAAAAUUGUAUUCAUAGAUUCAGAGCCUUAAGAAACCCCUAAAACACAGGAUUGUGACAAGAAAUUCAAGUAGGAUAACUGGGGCACA